GUGAAUCAUCAAAUUUUUGAACGCAAAUUGCACUCUCUUCGGAGAGUAUGCCUGUUUGAGGGUCAGUAUUAAUAAAAAUCGGUGUGUUGCUUCUUUGUGACGCUCCGGAGUUUGGGUCAUCUUAAUACCCUUUAGGUUUUAAGAGGCUUAAAAUUGACUUUUUUUUCCCCUUUUUGAUUUUCCUUAAUUUUUUUUUUUUUUUCUUUUUUUUUAUUCCCAAAAUCCCUAUAAAUUCCAC
rnacentral:misc_RNA from 1 species